AUUGAACGCUGGCGGCAUGCUUUACACAUGCAAGUCGAACGGUAACAGGCCGCAAGGUGCUGACGAGUGGCGAACGGGUGCGUAAUGCAUCGGAACGUGCCCAGUCGUGGGGGAUAACUACUCGAAAGAGUAGCUAAUACCGCAUACGAUCUAUGGAUGAAAGCGGGGGACCGUAGGGCCUCGCGCGAUUGGAGCGGCCGAUGUCAGAUUAGGUAGUUGGUGGGGUAAAGGCUCACCAAGCCAACGAUCUGUAGCUGGUCUGAGAGGACGAUCAGCCACACUGGGACUGAGACACGGCCCAGACUCCUACGGGAGGCAGCAGUGGGGAAUUUUGGACAAUGGGCGCAAGCCUGAUCCAGCAAUGCCGCGUGCAGGAAGAAGGCCUUCGGGUUGUAAACUGCUUUUGUACGGAACGAAACGGCUCUGGUUAAUACCCGGGGCUAAUGACGGUACCGGAAGAAUAAGCACCGGCUAACUACGUG
rnacentral:rRNA from 1 species